rnacentral:rRNA from 1 species
AGUGGGGAAUAUUGGACAAUGGGCGAAAGCCUGAUCCAGCCAUGCCGCGUGAGUGAUGAAGGCCUUAGGGUUGUAAAGCUCUUUCGCAGGUGAAGAUAAUGACGGUAACCUGAGAAGAAGCCCCGGCUAACUUCGUGCCAGCAGCCGCGGUAAUACGAAGGGGGCUAGCGUUGUUCGGAAUUACUGGGCGUAAAGCGCACGUAGGCGGACUAUUAAGUCAGGGGUGAAAUCCCGGGGCUCAACCCCGGAACUGCCUUUGAUACUGGUAGUCUCGAGUCCGGAAGAGGUGAGUGGAAUUCCGAGUGUAGAGGUGAAAUUCGUAGAUAUUCGGAGGAACACCAGUGGCGAAGGCGGCUCACUGGUCCGGUACUGACGCUGAGGUGCGAAAGCGUGGGGAGCAAA